rnacentral:rRNA from 1 species
UACGUAGGGUGCAAGUGUUGUCCGGAAUUAUUGGGCGUAAAGAGCUCGUAGGCGGUCUGUCGCGUCUGCUGUGAAAACUCGGGGCUCAACCCCGAACUUGCAGUGGGUACGGGCAGACUAGAGUGUGGUAGGGGAGACUGGAAUUCCUGGUGUAGCGGUGAAAUGCGCAGAUAUCAGGAGGAACACCGAUGGCGAAGGCAGGUCUCUGGGCCAUAACUGACGCUGAGGAACGAAAGCCAGGGGAGCGAACGGG